GAAUAUUGGGCAAUGGACGGAAGUCUGACCCAGCCAUGCCGCGUGAAGGAAGAAGGCCUUCUGGGUUGUAAACUUCUUUUAUAUGGGAAGAAAAAGCGCUUGCGAGCGAAACUGACGGUACCAUAUGAAUAAGCACCGGCUAACUCCGUGCCAGCAGCCGCGGUAAUACGGAGGGUGCAAGCGUUGUCCGGAUUUAUUGGGUUUAAAGGGUGCGUAGGCGGCCCUGUAAGUCAGUGGUGAAAGCCGACAGCUCAACUGUCGAACUGCCAUUGAUACUGCAGGGCUUGAGUACAAACGAGGUAGGCGGAAUUGAUUGUGUAGCGGUGAAAUGCAUAGAUACAAUCAAGAACACCGAUUGCGAAGGCAGCUUACUAGAUUGUAACUGACGCUGAGGCACGAAAGCGUGGGGAGCGAAC
rnacentral:rRNA from 1 species